AAGAAGAAGAAGAACAAGAAGAAUAAUAGAGAGGAGCAGUUUUGAACAAGAUGAAUAAUAGAGAGGAGCAGUUUUAAGAAAGAAGAACCUGGAAUUUAGGGCCUGCCAUGCACCGAGCCAAAAUUGCAACUUCCCUUAACAGAUAUGAAACAAUGCCCAAACGAAAUCAAGCUUUGAUACCAUUUGAAGAAUAUAAAUUAGGGAGAGAUAGAGAAGAAAGGGGAAGGGAAAUAGUAGAAGAAGGAAGAUAGAGAAAAUUAGAGCUUAGAGAAGAGAAUAGAAAGAAACAGAGAGAAGAAUUGAUUGUUUUAUUGAUAUUUCUUGGAUAGUCUUUUGUUACAACUCUUCAGUUAUUUAUAAAACAUCUCUUCUGCUAACUGUUCCUGUCAAAUAUAACAACUACUUCAACAACUAUAAAAAUUCCUAUAAUAGCUAUCAACUCAUCUCAACUAAAUCUACUUAUUUUACUCCCUCCACCAUACAGUUACAACCCUUAUUAAUAUUCAUAACAAUUUGCUUUAUCCUUUUGGCAUUUUUUUCUUAAAUUACCCAAUCGGUUAUUCUCCUUAAACAGAACUAGAAUGUAGAGGUGAUUAAAACCGUGGUGGAUCUCUUUGGCUCAAUUGCGUCUUACUCUUAACCAGUGUUGUCAAGAGGCGCCUGGUCACUCAGUCCGGGCAAGGCAAAAUCUAGGCACCUUGCCUGGGAAGCCUCCAGGCGAGGCACCUUCAACUAGGCGCACCUAGGCAAGGCUGAGGCAAGGCGUCACCAGGCGCCCGUAGGCGAGAAAUUGAAAAAAAAAAGUUGAGAAAGAGAAAAGCUAACCUAAUUUGUUUUCACUUAUUGGCAUCCACACGAUCACUAGAGAAUUAGGAUUUUUAAGUUUGCAUGACAUAAUGAAUAUCUAGAAUUUUAAAUUAUAUUAUAUGCUUUAUAGUUUUUGCUUUAACAAUUUGUGUUAUUAGAGGAAUGGUUUUAAUCUUGAAGCUUAAAACAUAUAAU
rnacentral:misc_RNA from 1 species